rnacentral:rRNA from 1 species
AAGACCUUGCACUUUUGGAGCGGCCGAUGUCUGAUUAGCUAGUUGGUGGGGUAAUGGCCUACCAAAGCUUCGAUCAGUAGCUGGUCUGAGAGGACGGCCAGCCACACUGGGACUGAGACACGGCCCAGACUCCUACGGGAGGCAGCAGUGGGGAAUUUUGGACAAUGGGCGCAAGCCUGAUCCAGCCAUGCCGCGUGAGUGAAGAAGGCCUUCGGGUUGUAAAGCUCUUUCAGCCGGGAAGAAAAGGUUGCGAUUAAUAAUCGCAAUUKAUGACGGUACCGGAAGAAGAAGCACCGGCUAACUACGUGCCAGCAGCCGCGGUAAUACGUAGGGUGCGAGCGUUAAUCGGAAUUACUGGGCGUAAAGGGUGCGCAGGCGGUUUUGUAAGUCAGAUGUGAAAUCCCCGGGCUUAACCUGGGAACU